GACGAACGCUGGCGGCGUGCUUAACACAUGCAAGUCGAACGGAAAGGCCCUGCUAUUGUGGUGUGCUCGAGUGGCGAACGGGUGAGUAAUACGAGAGUAACCUUCGCUUGACUUUGGGAUAACUUCAGGAAACUGGGGAUAAUACCGGAUAGGAGCUCCUGCUGCAUGGUGGGGGUUGGAAAGUUUCGGCGGUUGUGGAUGGACUCGCGGCUUAUCAGCUUGUUGGUGGGAUAGUGACUUACCAAUGCUUUGAUGGGUAGCCGGCCUGAGAGGGUGACCGGCCACCUUGGGACUAAGAAGAGGCCCAGAAUACUACGGGAGGCAGCAGUGGUGAAGAAUGUACCGUGGGCGGAAGAAGGCUGACGCAACGAUGCGUGCGGGAUGAAGGACUUCGGGUUGUAGACAGCUUUCGCCUGUGAAGAAGCGGGAGUGACGGUAAUGGGUAAAGAAGCACCGGCUAACUACGUG
rnacentral:rRNA from 1 species